rnacentral:rRNA from 1 species
GACGAACGCUGGCGGCGUGCCUAAUACAUGCAAGUCGAACGCUUUUUCUUUCACCGGAGCUUGCUCCACCGAAAGAAAAAGAGUGGCGAACGGGUGAAUAACACGUGGGUAACCUGCCCAUCAGAAGGGGAUAACACUUGGAAACAGGUGCUAAUACCGUAUAACACUAUUUUCCGCAUGGAAGAAAGUUGAAAGGCGCUUUUGCGUCACUGAUGGAUUGACCUGGGGUGCAUUAGCUAGUUGGUGAGGUAACGGCUCACCAAGGCAACGAUGCAUAGCCGACCUGAGAGGGUGAUCGGCCACACUGGGACUGAGACACGGCCCAGACUCCUACGGGAGGCAGCAGUAGGGAAUCUUCGGCAAUGGACGAAAGUCUGACCGAGCAACGCCGCGUGAGUGAAGAAGGUUUUCGGAUCGUAAAACUCUGUUGUUAGAGAAGAACAAGGAUGAGAGUAGAACGUUCAUCCCUUGACGGUAUCUAACCAGAAAGCCACGGCUAACUACGUGCCAGCCGCCGCCGUAA